rnacentral:lncRNA from 1 species
UGAGGUGAAAUUAUUAGCACACACAUCUUUGAGGCUCCUUCCACGCAGCUCUAUGAAAUCCCACAUUGGGUUGUUGUAUGUUGCUGUCUGGCCAUGUUCCAGAAGCAUUCUCUCCUGACGUUUCGCCCACAUCUGUGGCAGGCAUCCUCAGAGGUUGUGAGAUGUAGAAUGCAGAAAGGCACUGCUGGUAAAUUCAGGCAUCGAUCAUAUUCAGAGAUGAAGGGGUAUAUGAACCCCAGUUGGCAUGUCUGGCAUUACGUCCAGUCGAAAGAUUACUGGAAUACAAAUGGAGACAUAAUUGGCAUUUGGGACUGUCACAUCUUCAGUUUGAAAGGUUACCCGCCACGGACAUGAGACAGGUGCAGAAACAAGGACAGCAACGGGAAAAGCAGCCACCAAGAAGAGGACCAUGUUGAUUUCAGGCCCCAUUAGAAGCCGCCUGGGAAGAAAUCA